CCAUAUUUGACUCUAAAACUUUAACCAAGCUUCUUCUUGCUUCUCAAAGCUUUGAUGGUGUAGCUGUAGUCCGUAUGACUCUUUGUCUUUGUAUCUUCUAACAAGGUUACAAUACUUAGGAUUUUAAGAUUCGGUUGCGGUUCUAGUUGUUAUACUCACUCAUACACAUGACAUCAAGCCAUAUUUGACUCCAAAACACUAACCAAGCUUCUUCUUGCUUCUCAAAGCUUUGAUGGUGUAGCCGUAGUCUGUAUGAGUCUUUGUCUUUGUAUCUUCUAACAAAAAAACACUAUGGCUUUUAAAACUCGGUUGCGGUUUAAUUUCUUG
rnacentral:sRNA from 1 species